AAGGGGAUGGCUCAAGGGUAAAGCACCUGCUCAGCAAGCAGGAGGCCCUGAGUUCAAACCUCAGUUCCAUUA